CCAAUAGCGUAUAUUAAAGUUGUUGCAGUUAAAAAGCUCGUAGUUGAAUUUCGGGAUCAAUAUGUUGGUCGUGCCUUGGUACGUACUAGUUUAUUGGUUUCUUCCUUCUGACGAACCAUGAUGUCAUUAAUUUGGUGUCUUGGGGAAUCAGGACUGUUACUUUGAAAAAAUUAGAGUGUUUAAAGCAGGCUCACGCUUGAAUACAUUAGCAUGGAAUAAUGAAAUAGGACGUUUGAUUCUAUUUUGUUGGUUUCUAGGAUCGACGUAAUGAUUAAUAGGGAUAGUUGGGGGCAUUAGUAUUCAUUUGUCAACGAUGAAAUUCUUGGAUUUAUUGAAGACUAACUACUGCGAAAGCAUUUGCCAAGGAUGUUUUCAUUAAUCAAGAACGAAAGUUAGGAGAUCGAAGACGCUCAAAUACCGUCGUAGUCUUAACCAUAAACUAUGCCGACUAGGGAUCGGAUGAUGUUAAUUUUUUAAUGACUCAUUCGGCGCCUUACG
rnacentral:rRNA from 1 species